GAAACGACUGCUAAGACUGGAUAGGAGACAAGAAGGCAUCUUCUUGUUUUUAAAAGACCUACUAGCAAUAGGUAUGCUUAGGGAGGAGCUUGCGUCACAUUAGUUAGUUGGUGGGGUAAAGGCCUACCAAGACUAUGAUGUGUAGCCGGGCUGAGAGGUUGAACGGCCACAUUGGGACUGAGACACGGCCCAAACUCCUACGGGAGGCAGCAGUAGGGAAUUUUCGGCAAUGGAGGAAACUCUGACCGAGCAACGCCGCGUGAACGAUGAAGUAUUUCGGUACGUAAAGUUCUUUUAUUAGGGAAGAAUAAAUGAUGGAAAAAUCAUUCUGACGGUACCUAAUAAAUAAGCCCCGGCUAACUAUGUGCCAGCAGCCGCGGUAAUACAUAGGGGGCAAGCGUUAUCCGGAAUUAUUGGGCGUAAAGGGUGCGUAGGCGGUUAAAUAAGUUUAUGGUCUAAGUGCAAUGCUCAACAUUGUGAUGCUAUAAAAACUGUUUAUCUAGAGUAAGAUAGAGGCAAGUGGAAUUCCAUGUGUAGUGGUAAUAUGCGUAAAUAUAUGGAGGAACACCAGUAGCGAAGGCGGCUUGCUGGGUCUUUACUGACGCUGAGGCACGAAAGCGUGGGGAGCAAACAGGAUUAGAUACCCUGGUAGUCCACGCUGUAAACGAUGAGUACUAAACGUUGGGUAAAACCAGUGUUGAAGUUAACACAUUAAGUACUCCGCCUGAGUAGUACGUACGCAAGUAUGAAACUUAAAGGAAUUGACGGGACUCCGCACAAGCGGUGGAUCAUGUUGUUUAAUUCGAAGGUACCCGAAAAACCUCACCAGGUCUUGACAUGCUUCUGCAAAGCUGUAGAAACACGGUGGAGGUUAUCAGUUGCACAGGUGGUGCAUGGUUGUCGUCAGCUCGUGUCGUGAGAUGUUGGGUUAAGUCCCGCAACGAGCGCAACCCUUAUUGUUAGUUACCAGCACGUAAUGGUGGGGACUUUAGCAAGACUGCCAGUGAUAAAUUGGAGGAAGGUGGGGACGACGUCAAAUCAUCAUGCCCCUUAUGACCUGGGCUACAAACGUGAUACAAUGGCUGUUACAAAGGGUAGCUGAAGCGCAAGUUUUUGGCGAAUCUCAAAAAACAGUCUCAGUUCGGAUUGAAGUCUGCAACUCGACUUCAUGAAGUUGGAAUCGCUAGUAAUCGCGAAUCAGCAUGUCGCGGUGAAUACGUUCUCGGGGUUUGUACACACCGCCCGUCA
rnacentral:rRNA from 1 species